UACGGGGGGAGCAAGCGUUGUUCGGAUUUACUGGGCGUAAAGGGCGCGUAGGCGGCCACUGCAAGUCAGGGGUGAAAUCCCGAGGCUCAACCUCGGAACUGCCUUUGAUACUGCAAAUCUCGAGUCCGGAAGAGGUGAGUGGAAUUCCUAGUGUAGAGGUGAAAUUCGUAGAUAUUAGGAAGAACACCAGUGGCGAAGGCGGCUCACUGGUCCGGUACUGACGCUGAGGUGCGAAAGCGUGGGGAGCAAACAGG
rnacentral:rRNA from 1 species